rnacentral:rRNA from 1 species
AAUCCCGUGAACCAUCGAGUCUUUGAACGCAAGUUGCGCCCGAAGCCCUCGGGCCGAGGGCACGCCUGCCUGGGCGUCACGCAUCGCGUCGCCCCCCUCCCCCGCCACCCCCUCGCGGGUGGCGGCAGCGGCGGGGUGUGCGGAGGAUGGCCCCCCGUGCGCCUCGGCGCGCGGCCGGCCC